rnacentral:rRNA from 1 species
AGUCUGACGGAGCAACGCCGCGUGAGCGAUGAAGGCCUUCGGGUCGUAAAGCUCUGUUGUUAGGGAAGAACAAGUACCGUACUAACAGCUCGGACCUUGGCCGGACCCAAACCAAAAGCCCACGGCUAAUACCUGGCCACCACCCCCGGAAUUCCUUAGUGGGCAGCCUUUUCCCGGAUUAUUGGGCCUUAAACCCCCCCCAGGCGGUUCUUUAAUUCGAAGGUGAAACCCCCCGGUCCACCCGGGAAGGUCCUUGGAAAACUGGGAAAUUUGAUUCCAAAAAAGAAAAGGGAAUUCCCCGUGGUACCGUGAAAUUCCUUAAAAUUUGGAAGAACCCCAAUGGGCAAAGGCGCUUUUUGGGCCGGUACUGGACCCUAAGGCCCAAAACCUGG